AGAUGCUCAUUCCACUCCUUAUGAUAGCAUUGACUUCAUAAACCUAGGAAUGAUGCAGAGCCGAUUAUUCGGUGCCUACGUCCACGUUAACGAUGAACAUCAUUCAUCAUCAACAGGACGAAACGUUGAGUGAGGCACCAUCCG
rnacentral:misc_RNA from 1 species